rnacentral:lncRNA from 1 species
UGUCUGUCUACCAUCUUUCUCAUUGGCCAGGAGCCUCCAAAUGGAACCUGCUGGUUCUUGUCUUAGGGGAGAAUUCAGUUGGGAGACACAGACGUUAUAAAUAGAAAUUUACUUAGCAAAGGAAAAGCAAAGUGUAUUUGAGAGAGACUGGAGUGGGCUGCCCUGAGGGUCAGGGAACAGGAAGUUCUCCGGUGUUGAGUUUGAGCGGGUUUUAUGAACACAGGGGAGGUAGGUAUGUUUAUUAGGUAAAGUAAUGCUUUUCUCCUUCCCAAAUUAUGAUGAGGUAUUUCUUGAUUUUUUUUUUCUAGAAAAGUCCACAAGAUAGGGGUUCAAAAUCCCAAUGUAAACAGCAUUAUAAAGAAGCCAAGAUCUUUGAGGAAGCAGGACCGCCCCCAUCAGUGCGCAUGCGUAGUAGAAUGCCCUGGUUCUGCCUCUGAGAGGCACGGCUAUUGUGACGCAGCUUCUGUUUCCUUAGUUACUUCAUGAAACUGCCUAGGGUCCCAUGAUGAUUAUCACGGCUAACUGUUGGUUAAGACAGUUUGCCGUGUUUAAACUUGAGGUUUUAUCACAAAAGCUGGGAAUGAGUUUUACGACAUUUUGUCAAGGUGUCCAAACAGGAAGAAUGUUUGCCUUCUAUCUAGGACCUGUCUCCCAGCUUCACUGCUCAUAGGUAUCCUGUAUCUUACAAUGCUUUAUUCCAGUGGUAAGAAAGGUCUGUGUAAAAAUGGCAACUGGAUCUUGGCAUAAACUACUUCACCGUUGUCUUUCCUCCUCCUUCUUUCCAUUUUUGCCCUUCAUAGCACUCCAGUUGCACUGUGGUUAGUAAUAGACCUUUAUAUUCCGUCAGCUUCGCCUGUUUCUUAGGAGGCGUUUCUACUUAACAAAGGGCGUUUCCGAGGAUACGAAGCACUAGAAGAGAACGGAAUAGGGCGUUCUUGGUGGCAAGCGAAAGAAAUUGAACUACAGACAACAUAGAGUUUGACUUACUGAUUGCAGUUUGUGUGACAACAGUCUCCGAAAAGGACCAAGCUUCCACUCUGCUAAUGACAGCUGACGUUUCUAAUCGCCCGAGAGGCACGGAUGUCUCAUUUCAGGAGACGCGCAUAGAGGGCUCGUCUGGCCUUGAAAUUCUGAAUUUUGAAAAGAGUUCAAGGUGAUGAUACCAAUGUUGCUGGUCCUGAGAACGAACUGUGAAGAGCAAGGGGCUAAGUCACAUGGAAGAUAUAGGGGAGCUGACGCCUCAGGAAUUUCCUCCUUGACUUCUGCAAGAGGUCACCUGGCAAAUCUAAGUCAGACGCUAGACAGCAAAUGGCUAUAGCUUGUUUAACUGGGAUUUCGUUUCUGAUGGACAGAGCGUGAGGACAGCCGCUCUGAUAAGGUGCAGUGUGUGUUUGAUUCUGGAGUUCCGGUAGGAACGUUUUACUUCAUCCUAGAAUAUGUCUGUCGAGUGGCACCUCCUUACAGUGACCUUUGGCCCCAGAAGUACAGUUUUAUGGAAGUUGGAGCCAGCAGUCUGUCUGGGCAUUUCUGAAGUUUCAGUAGCGCCCAUAAAACAGCCUCCCAGACUGCUGAUGUGGUCACCGGGGCCUCUGUCCCUGCAGAGUUAUUAGGAAGAGCUACUGCCUCUGAGACACCAGGAGAUGCACAAGCUCUGAUAAUUAGAAUGAAAUAAAAUCGAUGACUGGACGAACGUGCAGUUUACGAGCAAAGGCAACCUUUUGUUCUUUCCAAUUAGGCUCUCCCCCCCCAUGGACUUGGCAGAUGAAGCCGUGUUAUAAAUAGAAGUGAUAUUUUGUGGGGUUCUCCUCACUGAGAAGCACAUGAGGUCAAAUCCUAAUCAAGGUAAUAUAUAGAAGUAAUGAGCUGAGCCCACAUUCCCAAGCAUUUACCCAUCUAGUGGC